UUUUGGUCAAAAAGUAAAAUGUUUCAUUAAUUAACUAACAAAAGGAUAACAUAAGUUAUGGGUUUCUGAACAUAAAAGAUCCCGUAGAGAUAAUGGCGGUUUUACAAGCCAAUCUUGCGGUAGGGCUUUCUUGCGAUGUGUUUUGGCUAAGAAAUCUGCCACUUGAUUUGAUUCGCGUGGGUUGUAGACAAGCUCCACAGCUUUUAACCGAGAUAGCUUUUGUUUGCAUUCUUCAAGGAUAGCCUGAAUCUCCCACGGGCCCGGAGUCUGGCCCAUUAUGAUGUCCACCAAAGAUAAGCUGUCAGAACUCACCACCACGUGCAGAUCAACACUUCUCUGCAUAUCAGUUCUGCUUUUCCACAGAUCAGUUUCAUCUUCUAAGUACAAUAGAGCCGCAUGCAAAGCUAGGGUUUCGACUUCCAUCACCGAGGAGGCUACCACACUUUUAGCAAAACCACCCACAACUCUCCCAGUAGAAUCUCGGCAGAUCCCGGCAACGGCACCCACCCUCUCGCCUUCGACGAUUGACCCGUCGAUGUUUAGUUUUAAUCCGCCGGUCUCUGGAGGAGUCCACGAAACAGGCACAUGCUUCGUCGACUAUCAAGCUUGGAUCUGGACUUCGAUUCUGAAAGAUGAUUCUGUUUCGAGCCAACCAAAUUUUCCACAAUACCCCGGCGACCAGCUCAGGUGACGUCGCAAAGUAAGAAUAGAUGCUCCACUGAUUCAGGGGUUUGGCUGCAAACAGGGCAAAGGGGAUCUGGCGUUAUUGUUCUCUUGCACAGGUUCUCACGAGUUGGGAUCCCAAGGAAGUGGACCCAAAAGGCACAACGGGAGAAGUCGUAACAAUGCACUGGGGUAUUUGGUUCCCAUUGCUUAAGGAUCAAUAAGUUGCUGGAAAAAGACCAAGGUCCCGCCUCCAAGACCCUUUUCUUCUCUGCUUCUGAAUUGAAGAUAAAGGAGAAGAAGCCUGGCUCAAUUUGGCCACAGGUUACUGUGUCAGAUCUCCAUGCCCUCUUCAUAGUGCUUUGAAAGGCUUGGAAGUUGACGUUGGGCUUUGAGUAGAGCUUCCCAAAUAAGCAAAUCAGCAGAGAAGUAUAGCAAAACCACCUACUACCAGUACCUUACUACGAGACCUCUUGGGAAUCUCCCCAAUCAACUGAAGGCUAUUGUGACUAAAGCGAGCAGGGCAUCCCGUGAGACUGGAGGAUGCUCACUGCUGGGAUGGAGAAAGAAAUAGCAGGUGAAGGCAGUACCUCGAAGCUGGGCGACAGUGAACUUACCACAAGUUUGGUCGACAUCUAGCACCUGGUUCUCUCUUGAAUCGUAGACUGAGUGGAGAAUGCCGACUGGAUAGAUGACUGAAAUGGAAAAUAAGUUGUUUAUAUGGAGAUCUGGAAGGUUCCGUAGAGGGAAUGAAGGGAGCUCUAUCUUAGAUGUUGGAAGGGACAACGGUGGAGGUGUUUUUCAUAUUAGGGUUUGGGGCUGUGGAAUUGGGGGCGAAUGGAUAAUGUUAGCAGGAACUCCAUUGUUGCGGAGGAUGGUUGAUCUGGGCAUGGUGAGGGUUGUAUGAGAUUAAGGUUUUUUGGAAAAGGGGGUUCUAGGGCAAACUAUCACCAUGGAUAGAGA